GAAUCGUUAGCUCAGCUGGUUUAGAGCGCUGCCUUGACAGGGCAGAGGUCACUGGUUCGAAUCCAGUACGAUUCA
rnacentral:tRNA from 1 species